rnacentral:rRNA from 1 species
UACGAGGGGGGCGAGCGUGUUCGGAAUUAUUGGGCGUAAAGGGUGCGUAGGCGGUUCCGCAAGUCCUGUGUGAAAUCUUCGGGCUCAACUCGAAGUCUGCACGGGAAACUGCGGGGCUUGAGUGUGGGAGAGGUGAGUGGAAUUCCCGGUGUAGCGGUGAAAUGCGUAGAUAUCGGGAGGAACGCCUGUGGCGAAAGCGGCUCACUGGACCAUAACUGACGCUGAUGCACGAAAGCUGGGGGGAGCAAACAGG